AUUGAACGCUGGCGGCAUGCCUUACACAUGCAAGUCGAACGGUAACAGGUUAAGCUGACGAGUGGCGAACGGGUGAGAAAGGUAACGGAACGUGCCCAGUCGUGGGGGAUAACUGCUCGAAAGAGCAGCUAAUACAGCAUACGACCUGAGGGGGAAAGCGGGGGAUCGGAAGACCUCGCGCGAUUGGAGCGGCCGAUAUCAGAUUAGGGAGUUGGUGAGGUAAAGGCUCAGCAAGCCGACGAUCUGUAGUCGGUCUGAGAGGACGACCAGCCACACUGAGACUGAGACACGGCCAAGACUUCGACGAGAGGCAUCAGUGGGGAAUUUUGGGUAAUGGGCGCAAGCCAGAUCCAGCCAUGCCGCGGGCGGGAAGAAGGCCUUCGGGUUGUAAACCGCUUUUGUCAGGGAAGAAAAGGUUCUGGCUAAUACCUGGGACUCAUGACGGUACCUAAAGAAUAAGCACCGGCUAACUACGUGCCAGCCGCCGCCGUAACAC
rnacentral:rRNA from 1 species